AUAAAACAGUAUCAGACAGGGAAAACAAGUUUUUAUUGAAAUUAAAUAAAAUACAGGCAUCUACAAAGACAGAUAACCGCAAACUUUUUAGCGCAUUAACACGUUGUGUCUGUUAUCAAAUGCAGCGCAGCCACCGAACUGCGCAGGUCACUGUGCGCCUGAAAUGAUAUACGGUAAUACUACACCCCUAUUACACAGCUUCAAUAUCUCACAUAAUGCUAAACAGAGCCAACAUGCUCCAUCUAGCACAGUAAGUAAUGAAUCUGUGUUUUCUUUGAGGACGAGACAAGAUACGAGAACAAUGAGCAUCUCCAUUAAUUACACUGAAUUAUCUUUGACCUGCUUCAAAAUAAAUAUUUACAACCUGACACAAAUAAAUUAUUCCACUUUAGCUCACUUCUAGCACACAAACAGUUAGAGCAGCACUAUUCUGUAAGUGCUGCUAGCUUACUCAAACUAACAAAUAUUUGAUUCAUUUCAAACAGGUCUUUAAAAACAAGCAAUGUGUAGGACAGAAAAAAAUCAUGUGUAUAAAACCAAGAACAAAACAAUUAGCUUACCAGAAGGAAGAACAUUUAUUUAAUCCUAUACCUUAUCUCAAUUUAAUGACUUAUUCACAAUGCCUUAAUUAUCAAAAAUUUGUAAUUAAAGCCAUGUUAUAAUAUUCAUGUUCCUGUUCAAUAUACCGUGCUAAAGAGCUAACAAAUAAAUUAGACAAGCAAAUCUAAGGAUACAUAAUAAUAGUAAUAAUGACAUUUAAAUAAGAAUUGGACAUACAGUAACAGAGUAAUUACAAAGUCCUUGCCAAAGUACAACUAUAAUGUUUUAGUUUAUCGCCAAUGUUUAACGCAAAGGGAAACUUUUCUGGAGAUGAAGUUUGACAUCUGAUAAACAUUGGCAAUAAUGUUAAACAUCAAGGAUAACGUUGAGCAUUAUUCUUGAUUUAACAAAAAAAUCUGGGACAAUGUUAAUUAUCCUGGAUAUUAAAUGCUGAACAUCGGCGAUAAAGUUAAACAUCCUGGGUGGCAUUAAGCAGCAACCAUAACACUGACUGUUAAACAUCAGAUAAUGAUGACCACAGUGUAAUGGCUAAACACAGAGGUCAAAUAAAAAAUUAGGGACAACGCUAAACAUCCUGGACAAUCGUAAACAUUGGGGAGAAAACUGUCCCCAAUUUUUAAUGUCUCUUUUUCUGUCAUCUCACAAGAAUCUUCAUGUCAAAUCUCCACAUUCAAAGAAACUAAAAGGAUUUUCUGGUUUUAUUCAUUUUUAUUUUAACAGAUUGUGAGAACAUCCCUGUAAAGAAAUCAAAAUGGUCACAUAAUUCCCAGGAAUGGAAGGGAACCAGGUUGGAUGGAUGGAUGAAGGGAACCAGAUCUGCCCAGCAGGAGAAGCUCGCUGCGUCUCCUCUGUUCCAUCGGCUCAGUGUGACGUAGCGACUCAGACUGAACAGAUGAGGCCGUUUUCAGGCUGCUUGAGCUCAAAUCUCCCCCAGCAACGGCGCCUCAGAUGAGCGAGUCGUAGCGACACACCGGCGACCCGAUCGGCUCGUUACCGACUGUACUGGAGUCCAAUUCCAUCAAGCUGCUGAUGAACUCUCCCACUGCUCAGACACAAAUAAAAAGGAGAAACAGGAACUCAGAUGAAUUAUUUUCAUCAACAUUUAUUAUGUUGUGAUGGAAAAUAAAAAUCCAACUGAGAAGAAAGAAGCUGCUGAGUGGAGGCCUGAAGGGAA